GACGAACGCUGGCGGCGUGCCUAAUACAUGCAAGUCGAGCGAGACUCUUCGGAGUCUAGCGGCGGACGGGUGAGUAACACGUGGGCAACCUGCCUGUAAGACUGGGAUAACACCGGGAAACCGGUGCUAAUACCGGAUAAUCCUUUUUCUCUCAUGAGGAAAAGCUGAAAGUCGGUUUCGGCUGACACUUACAGCUGGGCCCGCGGCGCAUUAGCUAGUUGGUGAGGUAACGGCUCACCAAGGCGACGAUGCGUAGCCGACCUGGGAGGGUGAUCGGCCACACUGGGACUGAGACACGGCCCAGACUCCUACGGGAGGCAGCAGUAGGGAAUCUUCCACAAUGGACGAAAGUCUGAUGGAGCAACGCCGCGUGAGCGAUGAAGGCCUUCGGGUCGUAAAGCUCUGUUGUUAGGGAAGAACAAGUACCGGAGUAACUGCCGGUACCUUGACGGUACCUAACCAGAAAGCCACGGCUAACUACGUGCCAGCAGCCGCCGUAA
rnacentral:rRNA from 1 species